ensembl:lncRNA
GACCAAUCGGAAGCGAAGGCCCCCGCCCCCCGGGCCGGUGGACCGAGCUUGACCCCGGCGGUGGGCGGAGAAGGCGGGGCCAGCUGCGCGGCCGCGGAGGGGGCGGGGCCCGGGGCCUGGAGGCGGGGCCUGGGGCUGUCAGUCCCGCGCCCGCCGCUGCCGCUGAGGUUACUUAUAUGCCGUGGCUGGGUGGCUGCCGGCGCUGCCGACCGCCGUCCGCCGCCUCGGCAUCCCGAACCGCCUUCCGCCGUGCCGGGCCGGCGCGCAGGUGUUCAGGAAAAAAAUGCACAAAAUCCUGACUGACCGGAAUAAUUCAUGAAGAAGGGGCUGGAUCCGUGGGUCAGAGAACACAGGACCAGUGUGCCAUCCCAAGGCCGAAGGUAGGGGACUCUGGAUUUUUAUUCGGCUGAUGGUUGCCUCGCAUUUUAUUUAUUGUUUUUUGCCGGCGGCCGCCACGGGCAAGUGAAAUAGCGAGCUGCGAUUCCAUGUUGUCGUGGCCCUUCUUGGGCGAGGUGUCCGCGGGCAGAGGCGCGGGGAACGACCGGGUGGGCGGCUGCGGGGCCUGCGUUGCCCUCGGUGGGCUGAGCUGGCUGCCCGGUCGGGUGCCGGGGGAGCGGCGGGAGCCUCAAGUGACCCCCGCGCGUCAAUCACGGCGGCGGCGGCUGUAACCCUGUGCGCGCCGCGCGCUCGCAGCUCCUGGCGGCCAGGCUGCACCCGCGCACUGGCGGCCGGCUCUGCUCUGAACCUCAGUGGUCCGGCGGAUGCCUAGUCAGCCACAGAACCUGCAGUUUGCAGUUUCUUCAGCUGCCCUGGCUGCGGCUCCAGGAUUGUUCAGCAACCCCCAAUCCCCAGCCCCCCGCGAGCCCUCUCUGUCGCCGAAAAUGAAAUCCGAUCGGAGGAUGCUAGGUGCCCAGGCAGAUGGGAGAUCUCCAGCUCCCUGAAAUCCUAGCGCCCCUCUGCAAAUGUUCCCAAAGCAAAAUUACAACCUCGUGCCCACCCCCAAGAAAACCAAAGCAAACCCAAAGUCUUCCUCUGUUGGGGAGUCUUGCCUUACCGCUAGCAAAGCAAGUACCCCCUCUCCCAGUUGUGUCCCACAUUUUACCAUCCUUCAAAAUUAGAAACACCGCUGGUGCUAAGUGGCUUCCGCUGAGACGGUAGGAGCUGCUGGAGGACUCUUUUCCUGAGCGUGUCAGACAACCUGAACUCGCCGAGACUUGGACGAAAGUCGUGGCGAGGCGCUGGGGGCCAGGCUUAGAUUUGGUUGAUCGCGGCUUUUUUGGUUCAUGUUGCAGGUUCGCAGGUCUGGAUGAUUUCUUUGGCUCAGCCCGCCCUUGAACUUUGGGGGUCGAGGAUGCAGGCAGGAGGGUCUUCGGGGUCUGGUUGCUGGGUGAGCGGCCGCUUGGCGCUCUUUCUGCUAUACACCUCAAGUUUCGGGCCACCAUUGGAAUUUUAACCUCAGCAGUCGGCUGCUCGCCACCCCCCAGCCGUGUCUGGUGCUUCGGUUGUGGUUGUGUUAAAACUUACUUGCUUUCAGGCUGUCGGGGGAGGGGAAAAGGGGCGCCUGCGGUGUGCGCUAAACUGAUCUCCACCUAAGCGGUUCUCCAGCCCUUGUUUGCAUGAUUAUGUAAUUUCAACUAAUGAUCAGACCAUGCGCCCCAGCAGCUCCCACCAUCUCCUGGUCCUCCCCCAGACUGAAGAAGUUGGGUCCUAUGUUUAAGAUGCUUUUAUGUAACUGUAUGUAUUAGGGGGCAGGGAGAGUGUGGGAAAGAGAGAGAAUGAUUUGAGCAAUUUAUGUGUGAGGAACGGAGGUGGGGUGGGAGGCAAAAAUCACGUGUCCGUUGGGAUGAGCUUGGAAUUGGGCUUUGGGUUGGUGUUGAUCUAAAGAUCCUCCCACAUCCCUCUUGGCCAGUCAUUGCUUGUCUGGACUUUCAUGUGGUCAUUUCACCCCUGCUUCAACCCUGGAGAAGGUUGACGGUCAUCCCUGCAAGAACCCUGAGUGACUAGCUCGAUGCACAACCGGAAUCCUGAAUCCAGGGUGACCACCAGGUUCAUUUGUUUUAGGUCCUGGCUGUUCCUCGUGCUUCCUGCUAAGGGAAAGAGUUUCUGCCAUGCUUAGAGUUUCAGUUUUGCUCUGGGGUUGGGCCACACUGUAUGGCUGAAUAGCAGAACCCAGAUGCUGGCUGAGCUGCUUGACAUAUGCUCUUUAAAGUUCUGAUAACUUGCAGACACUGGAGGCCCUGUACAUUCUUGCAUUAAAUACUGUGGGAUCAUUAUUACUUUUUGCAAGGUAGGAGAACAACUGUCUCACAGAGAUAUCUGCAGGCAGAGGGGAAAAGGUGGGUAUGACACUUGGCGCUCUCUCCUUCUGUCUGUUUUAGCUAAGGCACUCACAGGACACAGAACUGUUGCAAGUUCGUAUCACACCCCUUAGUGCCUCAGCCUGGGCAGACAUUAAUUUAAUGGAAAGUCUGGCACCUUCAGGGGCUUCCCAGGUGGCACAGUUGGUAAAGAAUCUACCUGCCAAUGCAGGAUUCUCGGGUUUGAUCCCUGAAUUGGGAAGAUUCCUUUGGAGGAAGAAGGAAAAGGCAACCCACUCCAGUAUUCUUGCCUGGGGAAUUCUAUGUACAGAGGAACCAGGCACGACAUGACUGAGUGUGUGCGUGCGCGCGCGCGCGCGCACACACACACACACACACACACACACGGACUGGCCUCUUCAGCCUCAGAUGGUUUUACUGUCCUCAGCACCCCGCCCUAUCUGCUCUGAGGGCCAAUGACAAAGGGUGUGCACUUGGCAGUGGAUGAUGUGCCCACGGGCGCUGCUACUGAACUGUUUUACCCACUGUCUCAGUGGCAGCCACUCUCCUUAGAGUGGAGAAGCAUGUGCUGCCUUUGGGCUUUUGCCAAGUGAGCCAUUGAAGCACUCAAUGUGUGAAAAAUACCGGCAAGCAGAAGAUGCAUUUAGUCUGAAAUCCUGGCAGAUUCCAGACCUCGACUUGAUGGAAGAUAAUGUUAAGAAAGCUGUGUGACAACUGGAUAGCUUUUAACUUGUUUCUAACUUGCUUUGUGAGUUCUCUGAUGCCUCUCAGGUCCUUUUCUGCUCUCCAAGCUGCCCAUCAAGGAGACUCAGACAUGCUGUUCUUCAUUCUCUUUCUGGUGAAAUCAAAGCAUAUUUAUAAAUCAGCAGAUAAAUAAGCAGGGCAGGAAACGCUGGCUAUAUGAAUAGACAGCACUGGUAUUUCAGACCAGAGUUAGACAAAGCCCUUGACCAAAGUCAUUCUUCAUUCUGUAAAGAGGGUGUCACCAUGAUAGCCUUACUGAGUGCAAUGAAAUAUCUUUAAAAGAAAAUGAGUUGGGCUAAAAAGAAGCAUGUCCCCUAUAGUCGCUGGGUGUUAGGAUGAUACCAUGACCAUCUGGACUGCACAUUGAUAGAGUGUCACUUAUCCAGUUGGGACCUAAGUGGUAAAGCAAGACAGAUGUCAUAAGACAUGAGCUCAGGUCAGGUAUUAUAGCCAUUGGAAAAUUUCAGUGCAGAAAACUUCAUGCCCUCUUGCAGGAUUCAUUUACACAAAGUUCUAAGAGGCUCUGUGAUUAGUUUGCAAAUACACCCAGCAAAUUGGACAAGAUUGAUAAACUAGUGUACAAGGGUUCUAAUAUAGUUCUUUUGUAAAACAUCACUAAGAAGUAUCAGUAAUGUAAGACAGAAAUACUGAACAAGUUUAAAAUAAAAUUUAAAAGGCACGGGAAUUCAAAGCAUAGAAUUUAAUAUAAGUAUUUAAUGGGAGCAAUUCAGUGAAAUUUUAUGCAUUUUGAUGGGUCUUCAGAACUCUGUUUUGUAGCUUAAAAACUGAUGCUUACCGUGACCUAUAUGCACCAAGAGGAGUUUAAUUGACUUUUUGUGUGAGCGGUUUCAAAAAGCAUAAGAAUUUGAAGUAUACCCCUAAUGACUUUUUUCUUUUUUUUUUCCUAAUGACUUUUUUCAACAUGAUGCUAAAAGAAAAAAACUUCAUUUAUGCAGGACAACAGAAUAUCUGAGUUUUCUGGACAGCCAAGGACUUACUGAUCAAAAUUAUAACUGUAAUCACCCCCCUCACUGAAAUUAAUUGAGAACUGUAUGAUAUUUUGCUGAAAUUUGGCAGGAAACUAUUAUGCUAGAAUUAGUAGUGCUUAUGUUCUCACAUUUGAUGUUGUAGAAAAUUCUAAGAAGGAGGCAUGGGAGCCUCAGCCUGUCUUGUGACCAGAGACACACUUAGAACUUUCCAACUUGGCAACUUUAAUGCUGGAAAUAAUUGGAAGAGACUGGAUAGUGGAAAAGAUGAAGUAGGAGAGGUGUGUGUUUCUUAUGUCAAUGUAGGGAGUGUGGACUCCCCACCACCAGUGUGCUGUUAAAAAAGUUCAAGGUGUCAUGACAACACCCUCAUGUUAAACUGUGUUGUUGGCUCAAUUCAGACAUGGUGCUCAAAACUGGAAGGAUGUGUGAGUUACACAAGCAGUGCUAAGCUUUGUCUAACCCUCUGCCAAUUUGCUUAGUUACAGUGUAUUCCAAGACGAAGGCAACAGGAAAAUCAAAAGUAGAAGAAAAUGAAUGCUGACACUUUUUAAAGAGUACUGUUUUUUAAGUUUAAUGCGUAUGUUGAAAAAUGUGAAGACCCUAAUUAAAAGGAGCGGAAGAGUCUGUCUUGGUUUCUAGACACACAGAAAUUCAUCAUUUUGGUAAAUUAUUUGAAAAAAGUUUUGAACUUGUUAAAAGAAAUUGUCAGUAACAGGCCUUUGAAUAUAAUCAGAAAUGUUCAGAACUAGCCAAAGUUUCUAUGUAUAUAAGCAAAAGGAUACUGAUGUAGUAAGAUGGAUAAAACACUAUUCUCUGAAAUUCCUAGGGGCUUGAAAGGCAGAGGAGGUAGGAGUUCGUUGUGGUUGGUUGGUGGUCCUGGGGUAACUGAAUCACUCUCUCCAAGGGGCUGCCCGCUUGGGAGGAUCACAUCUGGGAACUGGGCUUGGGCUAUUGAUCUGGUCUGUCCAUGAAAAACAUGCAUGCAUGAGAGAUGUGAUUCCUCUCUUUGUUACUUUUAAAAAAUACCAGGUGUGACUGGUCACCAUCUGAAAAAAAAAGAAGGGUGGAGCUUUACAUCUAGAUGUUCAGUAGAGGUGAACUGAGAAUGUAUCUUAGAUUCAAGUAGCGAAGCCAGGGAAAAGCAUACAGAAGUCAAUCUCAAGAAUCUUGGAGCUCUCUGGAUGUCCAUGGGUCCUUGAAUUGGAGGUCAGGGCCAACAUUUAAAAAAAAUGAGUACUAUACAUGACUGGGAUCCAAAGAAAAACUUGUAAACAAAAAAUAGAGAUGG